AGCAGCCGCGGUAAUUCCAGCUCCAAUAGCGUAUAUUAAAGUUGUUGCAGUUAAAAAGCUCGUAGUUGAAUUUCGGGAUCAAAGGAUCGGUCAUGCCUUGGUAUGUACUGGUUUUAUUGGUUCUCACCUUCUAAAGAACCAUAAUGUCAUUCAUUUGAUGUUAUGGGGAAUUAGGACUGUUACCUUGAAAAAAUUUAGAGUGUUUAAAGCAGGCUUACGCUUGAAUACAUUAGCAUGGAAUAAUGAAAUAGGACAUCAGAUUCUAUUUUGUUGGUUUCUAGGAUCGAUGUAAUGAUUAAUAGGGAUAGUUGGGGGCAUUAGUAUUCAAUUGUCAGAGGUGAAAUUCUUGGAUUUAUUGAAGACUAACUACUGCGAAAGCAUUUGCCAAGGAUGUUUUCAUUAAUCAAGAACGAAGUUNGGGGAUCAAGACGAUCAGGAUACCGUCGUAGUCUUAACCAUAAACUAUGCCGACUAGGGAUCGGAUGAUGUU
rnacentral:rRNA from 1 species